UUCAAGUCUUUAAGAGCAAACGGUGGAUGCCUUGGCAUCUGGAGCCGAAGAAGGACGUAGCAAUCUGCGAUAAGCCUCGGGGAACUGAUAAGCAAGUUUUGAUCCGAGGGUGUCCGAAUGGGGAAACCCCGCUGGGCGGCGUGCCGACCCAGUGACUCCCGCCUGAAUAUAUAGGGCGGGUAGAGGGAACGUGGGGAAGUGAAACAUCUCAGUACCCACAGGAAGAGAAAACAACCGUGAUUCCGUGAGUAGUGGCGAGCGAAAUCGGAUGAGGCUAAACCUCAUGUGUGUGAGAGCCGGCAGGCGUUGCAUGUGGGGGGUUGCGGGACGUUCCUGAUCAUUCUGCCGAGUGGUCGACGUGACAGAAGCGUAUAGACGAACCGUCUUGAAAGGCGGGCCAGAGUGGGUGCCAGCCCCGUAGUCGAAAUGCGUGUUCUGGCGUGGAGCGUAUCCCAAGUAGCACGGGGCCCGAGAAAUCCCGUGUGAAUCUGUCAGGACCACCUGAUAAGCCUAAAUACUCCCAGAUGACCGAUAGCGGACAAGUACCGUGAGGGAAAGGUGAAAAGUACCCCGGGAGGGGAGUGAAAUAGUACCUGAAACCGUUUGCUUACAAACCGUUGGAGCACCCCUGGUAGGUGUGACAGCGUGCCUUUUGAAGAAUGAGCCUGCGAGUUAGCGAUAUGUGGCGAGGUUAACCCGGGUGGGGUAGCCGUAGCGAAAGCGAGUCUGAAUAGGGCGAUUCAGUCGCAUGUCCUAGACCCGAAGCGAAGUGAUCUAUCCAUGGCCAGGCUGAAGCGACGGUAAGACGUCGUGGAGGGCCGAACCCACUUAGGUUGAAAACUGAGGGGAUGAGCUGUGGAUAGGGGUGAAAGGCCAAUCAAACUUCGUGAUAGCUGGUUCUCUCCGAAAUGCAUUUAGGUGCAGCGUUGCGUGUUUCUUGCCGGAGGUAGAGCUACUGGAUGGCCGAUGGGCCCCACCAGGUUACUGACGUCAGCCAAACUCCGAAUGCCGGUAAGUGAGAGCGCAGCAGUGAGACUGUGGGGGAUAAGCUUCAUAGUCGAGAGGGAAACAACCCAGACCACCAUCUAAGGUCCCUAAGCGCGUGCUAAGUGGGAAAGGAUGUGGAGUUGCUUAGACAACCAGGAGGUUGGCUUAGAAGCAGCCACCCUUGAAAGAGUGCGUAAUAGCUCACUGGUCAAGUGAUUCCGCGCCGACAAUGUAACGGGGCUCAAGCACGCCACCGAAGUUGUGGCAUUGACAUUAUUGGUAGGCCUCCGUGGUCCAGCCGUGUUGAUGGGUAGGAGAGCGUCGUGUGGCGAGUGAAGCGGCGGGGUGACCCAGCCGUGGACGCUACACGAGUGAGAAUGCAGGCAUGAGUAGCGAAAGACGUGUGAGAAACACGUCCUCCGAAAGACCAAGGGUUCCAGGGUCAAGCUAAUCUUCCCUGGGUAAGUCGGGACCUAAGGCGAGGCCGACAGGCGUAGUCGAUGGACAACGGGUUGAUAUUCCCGUACCGGCGAAGAACCGCCCCAACCAAUCCAGUAGUGCUAAGUGUCUGAAUCCCACUGACGGAUCCCUUCGGGGUGAUGCUGUGGGCCUAGCGCACGACCCCAUGCUGAGGCGGUUAGCGUAUUAACAGGUGUGACGCAGGAAGGUAGCCCAACCCGGGCGGAUGGUUGUCCCGGGGCAAGUGCGUAGGCCGAGGGAUAGGCAAAUCCGUUCCUCAUACAGGCUGAGACACGAUGCGGAUGAAAAGUGGGUGAUCCUAUGCUGCCAAGAAAAGCAUCGACGCGAGGUUCUAGCCGCCCGUACCCCAAACCGACUCAGGUGGUCAGGUAGAGAAUACCGAGGAGAUCGAGAGAAUCGUGGUUAAGGAACUCGGCAAAAUGCCCCCGUAACUUCGGGAGAAGGGGGGCCAUCCACUUAUACCCACUUGCUGGGAAAAGGGUGUGGUGGCCGCAGAGACUAGUGGGUAGCGACUGUUUACUAAAAACACAGGUCCGUGCCAAGUCGCAAGACGAUGUAUACGGACUGACGCCUGCCCGGUGCUGGAAGGUUAAGAGGACGGGUCAGCCGCAAGGCGAAGCUCAGAAUUUAAGCCCCAGUAAACGGCGGUGGUAACUAUAACCAUCCUAAGGUAGCGAAAUUCCUUGUCGGGUAAGUUCCGACCUGCACGAAUGGCGUAACGACUUCCCAACUGUCUCAACCGCGAACUCGGCGAAAUUGCAUUACGAGUAAAGAUGCUCGUUACGCGCAGCAGGACGGAAAGACCCCGUGACCUUUACUACAGCUUGGUAUUGGUGUUCGGUGUGGCUUGUGUAGGAUAGGUGGGAGACUGUGAAGCGGAUACGCCAGUAUUCGUGGAGUCGU
rnacentral:rRNA from 1 species